rnacentral:rRNA from 1 species
UACGGAGGAUCCGAGCGUUAUCCGGAUUUAUUGGGUUUAAAGGGUGCGCAGGCGGGAGAUUAAGUCGGCGGUGAAAUUUUGCAGCUCAACUGUAAAAGUGCCUUCGAAACUGGUUUUCUUGAGUAUGGAUGAAGUAGGCGGAAUUUGUGGUGUAGCGGUGAAAUGCAUAGAUAUCACGAGGAACUCCGAUUGCGCAGGCAGCUUACUAAGCCAUAACUGACGCUCAUGCACGAAGGCGUGGGGAUCAAACAGGAUUAGAUACCCUGGUAGUCCACGCAGUAAACGAUGAUUACUCGCUGUUUGCGAUACAAUGUAAGCGGCUAAGCGAAAGCAUUAAGUAAUCCACCUGGGGAGUACGUUCGCAAGAAUGAA